AGGCUCUUUCUGAGUUUCUGGAUCAUUUUAAGGCCUCUAAACCAUCCUCUAUUCUAUCAGAACAUCUGCAGUUGGAGACUUUCCUAGUGAGAUCUUUCACGUCCCAAAAUGCCCAUCCCCAGCUGCCAGCAGUGUGGCUGUUGCUCCACACGACAUCUGGAGAGCACUUCCUCCUAAGACAAGAAGAAAAAGGUGCUUCUAGAACUCUUCAUUCUUGGGAUUCUCCAUCCACAGAGCUCCAGCAGGGGAACUUCACCCUUAUUUUGAGACCUGCUGGAUUUAUAGGGGACCAGGAAAAAAGUCAGUCCCUCUCCAAGCUUAAAGUACAGGGAUUGGAAUGCAGUCUCCAUGGGUACAUUAACAGCUGUGGUAGUGACUGCUUUGAUCAGUGGGUAGAAACAACUACUGCAGCACAACAGUCCCAAUUCUGUCAUCUUUCCAGAGAAGUAAAAGUGAAUGGUCCUUUCUAAUCCCUCUAUGAGGCUGAUCUUGGAGACCAAAAGAUUCCCUUCUCAGCCUGACUUUCUGGGCUCUGCUCAGUGAUUCUUUUCUCCUCCGUUUGCAGAUAGUCAAGAUAGUCGAGGAACCGGCUCACACUGUGCGGGAGGAGAGCAGCCAGGAGACUGAGGUGUACCUCAGUGCCGUGGUUGGCUACGCCCAGUUCAAACUGAGCACGAUUGUGGUUCAUCUCAACGACACCUUGCCCUUCGAGACAAGUACAGCCACUUUCAGGAUGGACAACACAGGGAAGGUAGCCCUGCAAUACUUCUGGGAAGAAGCUGCAGAUUAUGAACCAGUGAGCAAGCCCUAUUCAACCACUCUGAUGCGUCAGUUGCUCUCUUCUGCUACUGUAAAGAAGUACAGAAAGCUGGUGCAUAGUUUCUGGUGGCAGCAGGGCUCUCAUUUUAAGACACAUCCUUCUGAGCUGCGGCGCCUACAGGAGCUUGCCAAGCAGCAGCAGGAUUCCAAGCAGCAGCAGCCUUCUGAGCAGCAGCAGCAGGAGCCUGAGCAGCAGCAACAGGAGCAGUCCAAGCAGCAGCAGGAUUCCAAGCAGAAGCAGUCCAAGCAGAAGGACCGUUCCAAGAAGCUACGCCGCUCUAAGCAAAAGCAGCUCUCUCUGGAGCGUGUCAGUUCCUCCCUGGAAAUCUUCCCAGACAUCGUCCAUGACGUGCCCCUGUUCUCUAUCGACCCCGACCACGGCACCAUCGCUCCUGGCCAGCAGCAGACCUUCCAAGUGCUGUUCUCCCCGAAGUGUGUGGGGAACUUUGAGAUCACCAUGCUGUGCAGCAUUCCUAACCUGGAGCCGAGUCACAGGAGGGUGCGGGUGAUUCUGAAGGGCAGAGCCCGGGACCAGAAGAGUUUUGAUAGAGAGAAACGCUCUGCCUUACGGCAGGCAGAGGAAGGCCAGAGACCCAAGAAGCAGGUGCGCUGGCAGCCAACACCCGAGUGACAACAUUUGUGUCAGCUGGAGCAUCCAGCAGGAGCUGGCAACAUCUUGUUUGCUGCUGCUGAUGGUCUCCCACCUCCUACCUGAGACCUCUGCAGCCACCCUCUCAAGCUCCAGCUCCACCUCCUCAUUAUCAUUUAACUAACCAAUUGUUAGUUAAAUGGUAAUUAACUAUUAAUCACUGUUCAUUAAACAGUUGUUCACAGAUCGCUGUCAGCCUGUUUUGUUUGCAAAGACAGGUGUCUGCCUGACCUCUCUGGAAUGGAGAAUGUGACCCCCUUCCCUCCAAAUUAUUGUAACUUUGAAAUUAAGGGCCCUUCAGGCAAAGAUAUGGGAAAAGGAGCAACACUUCUUUACUACUAUGUGUAACAAGGCAAACAAACAACGCUGGCAGCAACAACAAACAGAACCAAAUACCAAACCACAGCCUUCUCUCGGCUGCAGGCACUUUCCCUUUGGUGUAGUUCCAGUCGCAGCUGGGCAGGGAAGGGAGACAAAUAAUGAAUAAAGCAAUUGCUGGAGAAAUUUUAAUUAAGCUA
rnacentral:lncRNA from 1 species